UGGGGAAUAUUGGACAAUGGGCGCAAGCCUGAUCCAGCCAUGCCGCGUGAGUGAUGAAGGCCCUAGGGUUGUAAAGCUCUUUCACCGGUGAAGAUAAUGACGGUAACCGGAGAAGAAGCCCCGGCUAACUUCGUGCCAGCAGCCGCGGUAAUACGAAGGGGGCUAGCGUUGUUCGGAUUUACUGGGCGUAAAGCGCACGUAGGCGGACUUUUAAGUCAGGGGUGAAAUCCCGGGGCUCAACCCCGGAACUGCCUUUGAUACUGGAAGUCUUGAGUAUGGUAGAGGUGAGUGGAAUUCCGAGUGUAGAGGUGAAAUUCGUAGAUAUUCGGAGGAACACCAGUGGCGACGGCGGCUCACUGGACCAUUACUGACGCUGAGGUGCGAAAGCGUGGGGAGCAAACAGG
rnacentral:rRNA from 1 species